UUCCUAUCUUACUUUCUUUUUCUCUUUUUUUUCUCUUUCCUUCUUUCUUCACCCUGAUUAGUGUCAC
rnacentral:ribozyme from 1 species